GGUGACUCCCACUCCGAAGCUCCCUGAUUCAAGUCUUGGACGGCAGCAGCAGGAAAUUGCCAGCAGAGUGAUCGGGUGCCAGAUUUCACACUUCAGGGUUAAUCCUUGAGGUAAGUCGGUGCCCGGAACCUCUCUGCACCAUAGCAACUUCAUUCUAAUGAUGUUGUGAUACUGCCCAGGAAGAUCCUUUAAAUACAACGAUAUUUAAAAAAAAAAAGGUUAAUUGGUUACAUGGGAUCCUUGUAGACAGAGUAUAGAGCUGAACCAUGACUAGUAGAUAGAGUAUAUGAAUAAUUCUUAAACAUUGUUAAACAAGGAGAAAUAAAUGAGGUAUAAUUUAAAAGUGAGUGAUACUGUAAUAUCCCUAGACAUGCUGGAACAAGCUGUACAAUGUAAUUAAAGUUAGCAUUUUCAUGACAGUAUGAAUUUCCUUUAAAUUCAGUGUGUAUAUACGUAAUGGAAGUCUCUGAGUAUUUAAUCCCCUAUAACUCAUCUGGCAUCUUCAAAUGCAUACCAAGAAAUAGACAAGCAGCCAGACAAACAUACAAUCAUAGUGUGCGGUAAAGAAAGGUGUCAAAAUGAAUAGAUUAUGUUGACUGACAUUCUUAACGACAAGUCUUAUUAGCUCAGCCACAUGUAGCAAACUAUAAGUAACCAAUGAGAGAUGAUACACACACACCCACACACACACACACAGAUAGAGACAUAAAUAUAGAUAGAUAGAUAGACAGACAGACAGAGAUAGAGACAGAGAUAUAGACAGGCAGACAGGGAGAUAGAUAGAUAGACAGGCAGACAGAGAGAUAGAUAGAUAGCUACCUGGUGCUCAGCAACACUGCACAUAUAGUAGGACAAGAUACCUGGUAUAUAUAUCUAUAUAUAUGUAUAUACACUUCAAUACUUAUUGUAAGCUCAGAAUCAGCCCAGUAAAAGUGUUUAAUGUAAGCUUUUCAUUCACUAUAAUGUGAUAUUUAGGUCAUGAAAUAAAAAAUAUGGUUGAAAUUCCUAUCUAAACACCUUUCUACCUGAAGGAAAAAUGCAGCAUUUAUUGAAGUUGGCUUGUUUUUGCCUCAAGGAGAAUCAGACCAGACACCUGGCUCGACCCUGAGUUUACAACUAAGGCUAUAGGUUCCAGGGCUUCUGGACCUUCCCAGGCCUGGUAUAACGGGAGCAAUUCCUGUUCACCCGAUGGAAAUUUAGAAUCCUGAAAAAAGGGAAGAUCUGCCACAGCAUGAACUGGGAAGAAUAUCACGGAGGAAGGCUUCAUGAUCAUCUGAAGAGGAGGAAAAAUGUUGCUGGUGGUUUUCACCUAGCAUGUCUGAACAGUUUUGGACUUAAAGUUUUUGGUCCUUACAGUUUUUGGUCCUCUCGUGAGGAUGAGGGUUUUACAGUAGACAGAUGUCUUGCAACGGCUCCUAAAGUUUCCUAAACUCCUAGUUUUAAAGUUUAGUGGUCAUCGCUCAAAAAGAAAAAUCUUCUGUAGUAUAACCAUCUGUGGAAAACAGGCCUACAAGCUCUCUGUGCUCCUUGCACAAGCUGCAUUAUCAAAAUUUUGAGUAUAUAUAAUGCUUUUUCUGUGUAACGCAUCAGCAGUGAUUCCUGUUACCAGUUAGUAACCCUACCAUUCAGUUGUGGUAUCUUGAUUAGUAAAUACACUGAUCAGCCAAACAUUAAAACCAUCUGCCUAAAGUUGUGUAGGUCCCUCUCGUGCUGCCAAAACAGCUCUGAUGCGUUGAGCCAUGGACUCCACAAAAUCUAUGAACGUGUCCUGUGUUCUCAGGCACCAAGACAUUAGCAAAAAAAUAAGUCUUGCAAGUUGUGAGGUUGGACCUCCAUGGAUCAGAUUAGUUGUUCCAGUAUAUCCCACAGAUUCUCAACCAGAUUGAGAUCUUGAGAGUAGGCAGGUCAAGGUAACACCUUGAACUAUUUCUUAUGUUACUCAAACCAUUCCUUAACGAGGGCUGUAACUAAUUAAUAGCAGAUAACUGAGCAGUGAGACUGCAGGGGUAUGAUCUAUACACCAAAACUGCUUCAUUAAGCUAACGUUGUUUUGGUGCCUAUAGUGUCUCUUUACAUUUUUCGGCAAUUUGAGCUACAGUAGCUUUUCUGUGUGAUCAGACCAGACAGGCUAGGCUUCGACCCUCCUACGUGCAUCAGUGAGCCUUGGACACCCAUAACCCUGACACUGGUUCGCGAGUUGUCCUUCCUUGCAUCACUUUCUGUAGGUACUACCUGCAUGCUGGGAAUAUCCCACAAGUCGUCUAACCAUCACUAUUUGGCACUUUUGAAAGUCACUCAGAUCUUUGCACUAGCCCAUUUUUUUGCUUCCAACAAUUCAAGGGAAAUUCAAGAACUGACAAAUAUGUCACUCGCUGUCUAAUAUAUCCCACCCCUUGACAGGCGCCAUUGUAAUUAUAUAAUUAAUGUUAUUUCACCAGUUUUACUGUUGUGGGUGAUUAGUGUAAACCAGUUUCUGUAAACAAUGGGACCAGUUGAGAGCAUGCAGGGACCUUAUGGAGGAAUCUCCCUUUAAGAAACAUAUAAUGAUUGCAAUUAUGUAUUUCUUUUUAAAUAAGAAUAGUGAUUAUUUUUUUAGACAAUUUCACUUUUUUUUACCCAGCUGAUCGGCCAUGUUGGAUCAUUCUUUAUGGUUAUCUGACCGACUGCUGCUGAACCUAACGUGCCAGCUGCAGACAUGUCACACAGAGCUAUCACUGCAGCAGGGUGAGUUUUUCUUUUCUUUUUACAUUCUUUAUCUUUUGAGUGCAGGGUUAAUAGAUAUGGGUAAUCAUCUUAUCGCGCUUUUUUUUUUUUUGUGAACCAUAUAAAUAAUCAGAAAUAUACAUUGCUGAAAAAACCCUAAGAGAAAUUACAUACAAUACAUAAGACUCUGCAUAACACUUCUGCUAUGUGUGACAUUUUUAAUCCUCCAUCUGACGCCCUCAACCAACGCUGCCCAUGGACCACAGCAAUACGUCCCUGAAAGCAGGGGAGGGCUGGCAGCCAUAGACCAGGGGGGCAAAUCCAGUCAAGUGGCCCAGUGCACCCCCGAAUUAGCUCACCAUCCAUGCCCACCUUUUCCUGGUUUUAUAACGGAUAUUGAUGUUAUGCUAAUCAGUAGCUCUUUGCCAUACCUGCUCCUUCACAGCUCUGACUUUCAAUGUUGUCAGAGUGCAGGCUUAGAAUCUCUGAGCCUGUGCUCCGACUCACUAACUGAGCACCGGAACCACGAGGGAGAGGCUAUAAUCUGACUGCACCUACUGCUGGUGCGCACCAGUGGACCACCAGCGAAUCGUUUAAAUUGAAUAUGCUGGUGUACCCAACUUGGGAGCUGUGUUGGCCGCCGGGUGCCUCUGUUGUCAUGGCAUCCUGUGUGACCGCAAAGCUUGCACAGCCCAAAGGCUGGCCCUGCUGACAGAGACACUGGCACUCACUCUCAAUAACACACACACACUGGGACGGACCGCCAUCACUAAGUACCAUGCCCACUGCAUAUUCAUGUGUUUUUCCCUUGUAUUGUGUGGUCCCUCUGUGUUUCCCCAUGUAUUUCUAUGCCUUUUGUAUAUUGUGCCUGUAUAUGCAGCAGCUAUAGAAGUGAAAUUUAUUGCUGUCUGUGUCUUUCCCACUUUCCCCCUCUUUUCUUGUCACAGCAGGACGCUGCCACAGAGACACUGCCAGCCCAGUUUAAC